rnacentral:rRNA from 1 species
ACUCAAAGGAAUUGACGGGGGCCCGCACAAGCAGCGGAGCAUGUGGUUUAAUUCGAUGCAACGCGAAGAACCUUACCAAGGCUUGACAUCCAACUAAAGCUAUGGAAACAUAGUGUCCCUUCGGGGGAGUUGAGACAGGUGGUGCAUGGUUGUCGUCAGCUCGUGUCGUGAGAUGUUGGGUUAAGUCCCGCAACGAGCGCAACCCUUGUUACUAGUUGCCAGCGAGUAGAGUCGGGGACUCUAGUAAGACUGCCGGGGAUAACUCGGAGGAAGGUAGGGACGACGUCAAAUCAUCAUGCCCCUUACGUCUUGGGCUACACACGUGCUACAAUGGCUGUUACAAAGGGAAGCGACAUGGUAACAUGAAGCAAAUCUCAAAAAAACAGUCCCAGUUCGGAUUGUGGGCUGCAACCCGCCCACAUGAAGUCGGAGUUGCUAGUAAUCGCGAAUCAGCAUGUCGCGGUGAAUGCGUUCCCGGGCCUUGUACACACCGCCCGU